rnacentral:rRNA from 1 species
AGCGAACGCUGGCGGCAGGCUUAACACAUGCAAGUCGAGCGGGCACUUCGGUGUCAGCGGCAGACGGGUGAGUAACACGUGGGAACGUACCCUUUGGUUCGGAAUAACGCUGGGAAACUAGCGCUAAUACCGGAUACGCCCUUUUGGGGAAAGGCUUGCUGCCGAAGGAUCGGCCCGCGUCUGAUUAGCUAGUUGGUGGGGUAAUGGCCUACCAAGGCGACGAUCAGUAGCUGGUCUGAGAGGAUGAACAGCCACACUGGGACUGAGACACGGCCCAGACUCCUACGGGAGGCAGCAGUGGGGAAUAUUGGACAAUGGGCGCAAGCCUGAUCCAGCCAUGCCGCGUGAGUGAUGAAGGCCUUAGGGUUGUAAAGCUCUUUUGUCCGGGACGAUAAUGACGGUACCGGAAGAAUAAGCCCCGGCUAACUUCGUG